ACUUUUAAUGGAAAACAGGCAUCCGC
rnacentral:tRNA from 2 species